GAUGAACGCUGGCGGCGUGCCUAAUACAUGCAAGUCGAGCGAACAGACGAGGAGCUUGCUCCUCUGACGUUAGCGGCGGACGGGUGAGUAACACGUGGAUAACCUACCUAUAAGACUGGGAUAACUUCGGGAAACCGGAGCUAAUACCGGAUAAUAUAUUGAACCGCAUGGUUCAAUAGUGAAAGACGGUUUUGCUGUCACUUAUAGAUGGAUCCGCGCCGCAUUAGCUAGUUGGUAAGGUAACGGCUUACCAAGGCAACGAUGCGUAGCCGACCUGAGAGGGUGAUCGGCCCCACUGGAACUGAGACACGGUCCAGACUCCUACGGGAGGCAGCAGUAGGGAAUCUUCCGCAAUGGGCGAAAGCUUGACGGAGCAACGCCGGGUGAGUGAUGAAGGUCUUCGGAUCGUAAAACUCUGUUAUUAGGGAAGAAAAAAUGUGUAAGUAACUAUGCACGGCUUGACGGUACCUAAUCAAAAAGCCACGGCUAACUACGUG
rnacentral:rRNA from 1 species